CCUACGGGGGGCAGCAAUCAGGAAUCUUGCACAAUGAGCGAAAGCUAGAUGCAGCGACGCCGCGUGGGUGAUGACGUCUUUCGGGAUGUAAAGCCCUUUUUCAGGGGAAGAUGAUGACGGUACCCUGAGAAUAAGCCCCGGCUAACUACGUGCCAGCAGCCGCGGUAAUACGUAGGGGGCGAGCGUUGUCCGGAAUUACUGGGCGUAAAGGGCGCCUAGGCGGUCCUUUAAGUCUGCGGUGAAAGACCGAGGCUCAACCUCGGGGUGUCCGCGGAGACUGGAGGACUGGAGUAUCGGAGAGGAGUGCGGAAUUCCUGGUGUAGCGGUGGAAUGCGUAGAGAUCAGGAGGAACACCGAUGGCGAAGGCAGCACUCUGGCCGAAUACUGACGCUGAAGCGCGAAAGCUGGGGGAGCGAACGGGAUUAGAUACCCCAGUAGUC
rnacentral:misc_RNA from 1 species